UACAGAGGUCCCAAGCGUUGUUCGGAUUCACUGGGCGUAAAGGGUGCGUAGGUGGUGAGGUAAGUCGGAUGUGAAAUCUCCGAGCUCAACUCGGAAAUGGCAUUGGAAACUACCUUGCUAGAGGGUUGGAGGGGGGACUGGAAUACUUGGUGUAGCAGUGAAAUGCGUAGAUAUCAAGUGGAACACCCGUGGCGAAGGCGGCCAUCUGGACCAGCACUGACGCUGAGGCACGAAAGCGUGGGGAGCAAACAGG
rnacentral:rRNA from 1 species